AUGGAUCGUCGCGCUAGCUUCGCCACCCCGAGCUUCGCCGACCCGAGCAUCCGCGUCAAGAUCCCCGACCAGCUGCCCACGCUGUUCGAGCCUCAGAAUGCCAAUGCCACGCCGAACCCGCGCGCCACCCGCUCCCGCAGCCCCGCCGAUGGCGACGCGCCACCGUCGCCGGAGCACCGCCUCACCGUGCUGGCCCUGCAGCUGGCCGUGCUUGAGAAGGCGGCGAGCCGGCUGGGCACGCUGGCCUUCGUCUGGGCCACGGUCGUGCUGCUGGGCGGCUUCGCCAUCACCCUGAGCCCAACCGACUUCUGGUGCAUCACGGGCCUGCUCCUCAUCGAGGGCACCCGCAUCCUGGGCCGCAGCCACGAGCUGGAGUGGCAGCACCACCAGGCCAGCCGGGCCCGCGCCGCCGUCCGCGCCUUCUUCUGGAUGCAGCUGCUCUCGGCGUCGGCGUGCGUCUCCCUCUCCCUCGUCCGCCUCAUCCACCAGCACUACGGCGGCACCGAGGACGCUCGCUCCAACCGUGCCGCAGCGCUCAACAUCUUCUACGGCCUCGCGCUCGCCGAGGCGCUGCUGUUCCUUGUCGAGAGGGCGCUAUGGGAGUGGAAGGUGGGCCACCGCCGCCUCCUCGAGUGCGUCGCCGACGACUGCAACCUCGCCGGCGCCUACGGCCAGGUCGUCGUACGCCGCUUCUUCUACGACUCCUACUCGCGCUGCCUCAACGGCAGCAUCUUGGACGGCCUCCACAUGGGCCUCGUCUCCUACGCCCAAGACCUCAUCACCGCGGGCUCGCACGACGAGCAGAGCCUAGGCGCCGGCAUCCUCGUCGCGCUCGCCGAGUCCGACCGCUUCGCCGAAGCCACGCUCCGCAGGAUCGGCGUCUCCGCGCCCACCAUCGAGCGCCUCAUCGAGAUGCUCAGCUGGAAGGACUCCUCGGAGCGCGAUGUCCGGCGCUCGGCGGCCGUCCUCGUGUCCAUGCUCACCGGGAGGAAGCUCGUCGCGCUCCGCGUCACCGGCAUUCCAGGCGUCAUCGAGUCCGUCGCGUCGCUGCUUUAUGCCGACCUCGACGAGCUCAACAUCCUCGGCCUCUCCAUCCUCAAUAAGCUGGCGCAAGACCACGACAACUGCGACAAGAUUGGCAAGACCAGGGACCUCCUCGAAACGAUCAUCUCCUACUCCAGCAUCGACCAUGCGCUGGCGUCGCCCUCGCCGAGGGACAUGAGGCUCAAGGCGGUCAAGAAGUCGCUCCGCGUUGUCAAGAGGCUGGCCGAUACGACGGGGGACACCGGGAAGCUGCUCCGACGGGAGCUCACCGACAUCGUCUUCACCGUGAGCAACGUCAGGGAGAUCCUGCAGCGGCACGACAAUAAGGUCCAGUCGGAGCUGCACCAGUUGGCCAUCGAGAUACUCACGAGCCUCGCGACGAGGAGGCCAGGGAGAUCAUCGGCGGGACGGGGGACGUGGUGA
rnacentral:rRNA from 1 species